AGUAACGCGUGGGUAACCUGCCCUAUACACAUGGAUAACAUACUGAAAAGUUUACUAAUACAUGAUAAUAUAUAUUUACGGCAUCGUAGAUAUAUCAAAGUGUUAGCGGUAUAGGAUGGACCCGCGUCUGAUUAGCUAGUUGGUGAGAUAACUGCCCACCAAGGCGACGAUCAGUAGCCGACCUGAGAGGGUGAUCGGCCACAUUGGAACUGAGACACGGUCCAAACUCCUACGGGAGGCAGCAGGG
rnacentral:rRNA from 1 species